AUUGAACGCCGGCGGCAUGCCUUACACAUGCAAGUCGAGCGGCAGCGCGGGGGCAACCCUGGCGGCGAGCGGCGAACGGGUGAGUAAUACAUCGGAACGUGUCCAGUAGCGGGGGAUAACCUGUCGAAAGAUAGGCUAAUACCGCAUACGAUCUACGGAUGAAAGCGGGGGACCGCAAGGCCUCGCACUGUUGGAGCGGCCGAUGUCGGAUUAGCUAGUUGGCGGGGUAAAGCCCACCAAGGCGACGACCCGUAGCUGGUCUGAGAGGACGACCAGCCACACUGGAACUGAGACACGGUCCAGACUCCUACGGGAGGCAGCAGUGGGGAAUUUUGGACAAUGGGGGCAACCCUGAUCCAGCCAUGCCGCGUGAGUGAAGAAGGCCU
rnacentral:rRNA from 1 species